UUGAACGCUGGCGGAAUGCUUUACACAUGCAAGUCGAACGGCAGCACGGGGGCAACCCUGGUGGCGAGUGGCGAACGGGUGAGUAAUACAUAGGAACAUACCCAGUAAUGGGGGAUAACGCCGAGAAAUCGGUGCUAAUACCGCAUACGCCCUACGGGGGAAAGCGGGGGAUCUUCGGACCUCGCGUUAUUGGAUUGGCCUAUGUCUGAUUAGCUAGUUGGUGAGGUAAAGGCUCACCAAGGCUUCGAUCAGUAGCUGGUCUGAGAGGAUGAUCAGCCACACUGGAACUGAGACACGGUCCAGACUCCUACGGGAGGCAGCAGUGGGGAAUUUUGGACAAUGGGCGAAAGCCUGAUCCAGCCAUUCCGCGUGAGUGAAGAAGGCCUUCGGGUUGUAAAGCUCUUUCGGCAGGAACGAAACGGUGAGCUCUAACAUAGCUUGCUAAUGACGGUACCUGAAGAAGAAGCACCGGCUAACUACGU
rnacentral:rRNA from 1 species